rnacentral:lncRNA from 13 species
UAGGGCGAGUUUUUUAAUUAAUCGAUUAAUCAAACGCAUUUUGCGCAAAUGCAGCUUUUACAUAAGAAAGUCGCAUUUGUACAUAAAGUGAUUGAUCGACCGAUGAGAAAAUCUCGACUAUAUUUCAUAAGGUGAAUAUUUUAACAGGCUGACCGAAGGACGAACCUCGACGCGUUAUGUUUAUAUUUCGCGGCGCGCAACGCUGCGAACAACGCGCCGCGCUAGCUGCUCAUUCGCGCGCCGAGUCUCGCGACGGUGGGACGUGCGCUGUGUUGUCGCCUGGCUUUUCGAAGCGCGAUCGGAAGCCCAUCGGAAAACGCGAUCAUUCUCUUCGUAACUAAUGGUCACCGCGAUAUUUAUGCGACGACAGCUAUUCCCCGAACGGUCGCUAGGAUUUGAGAAUACGGAGUGACACGCGAAUCGCCGAGUAGAGUAAGGUUAAUGUUCGAGAUAUGUACAUCGCAAAGAGAGACCCGCGGUCGGAUUCACGUUCGAAGCCUUAUUGGCAUUACUCUAUCUUUAUUGUUCAGUAGGCAUAAACAUGAACGGAAUGAAGUCAAUAGCGGUUUGAGUGCAAAUCUGACCAAGGUAUGACGAUUUGUUAUUCGAAGCGCGAAAGAUCGACGUAAAAGUACGCUCUGAAGCAUGUAGCGGAUAGAAUUUUUGUCGCAGCUAGCUUCGCUCAUGACCCGCGAGAGUGUAUCGCAGGUGUAUGCAGUUUGUUAUUCGCGAGUGCACGCUGAAGUAUGGAGCGAACGUCGUUGGUUGGCGGGUGACGCGUUAAGUUAGCCGCGAUUACGAGCUUCGUCCACGACGCGACGCUAUGUCGCGAGACAUCGCGAAUCUCGAGAGUGCAUGGAGCGUAUCGUAGAUUCUUCGUGCGUAGUGUAAAACCUUUUUACGAUCGAUUGCCAAUCGAAGGCUGGCCAAAAACGGAAGGAGGAUGCGUUUUUGGGUUAUCCCGGGUGGUUCGUGCGUCGGACGAGCGUGCUUGAAAAACGGGACGCGCAUGAUUCGAGUAACCUGUCGAGCUGCGUGUUCGGUGCAUGUUUGCUAUAACCUAUAACGCGUGAUAACGCGUCCAUGGAAACAGAGUUAUUCUCUCCAUAAAACACGCGUUGCGUGUGAGCGACGCGGCCGGGAGUGGCGCAUAAAGUCUUGCGCGAUCGUCGUGUUCUGAAAAUUAGUUCGCGCCUAAUUAAUCGUGCUUCCGCGAGUGAAUGUGUGUGUGAGUGCCAUGAGGGAACGACAACUGAGAGGAGGAGGAGGCCUGGGAGGCAUCAGGCAUCGGCGGAGCAGCCAAGGGAUCAGCAUUAGAUAUAUCUCCGCUGUCUCGCAUCGCAUCGGUG